rnacentral:lncRNA from 1 species
CUCACGGAGGCAGUCAAAAGCCUCCAACAAUAGCAAACCCAGCCCCGACAACCACUGACAGAGCAACCGGUGGCGCAUUCAGCGCCUUCCAAGCAUAGCCGCCGUCAUCCACGAUGAUCUCCGUCUCCUCCACCAGAGCGGCGAUCUCGGCUCUCUCAACGAGAUGAGCAGCGACAUUCGUGAUACUCUCAACGUGCCACCCACCAUUCACAACACCCCUCUCCUUCCCAGU